GUGUCAACACCGACCGCUACUCGCACUUUUUAUUAAAAAUGAUGACAAAACAAGUAAGUGCUAUUAUUUAUUGGACGAUUGCCAUUGAGGAACAAACACGCGAUUGGUUCGGCAUGUACUCAGGUGCCUGAACCACGUGACUUUUUCGGCUAUGUGUGGGACAAUCGGAUGUAAACAAAACGUCGCUUCAGAAUGCCUUUGUUUGCGAACAGUGUGGCAGAGAGGUCAAAACACGGUCGGGGAUCUCCUAACACAAAGCCACCCACGCACGGACAGGAAAAAGUUCCGUUGGGCAAACUUUUUCUUGUUUGUUUCUAUAAAAUAUAU